UUUCUUUAUUAGUAGUUUUAUUAUUGUUGUUGUUUUUAUCAUUAUCAUUACUAUUUUGAUUAUAUUGUUUCGAUUUUGAGAAUAAAAACAAACAAAACAAAAACAUUUAAACCAGGCCAAGGGUUUCUGGGCUUGGUGUGUAACGCAAAGCACUGAAACUGUUUCGCUCGAGGUCAGAGGUCGCGCGGAAAAACCGUUACAAACAAACAUUCAAGCGCAAGCAGCAACACUCAGUGGAGCAGCACGAAUACCUGAGAGGGCGCUGCGAGCUACAUUGAGUGCUUGGUCACGUGCUGCUCCUUCAUUCGUGAAGAACCUGGACGACAGCAGCGCUAUUAUCAUCAAUUCUCAAAAGAGACACCAUUGUCCCUAUCAAGGACUUCUUAUUGAUAUUUCACCUGGAUUAGUCUCAAGACAACAUAUUGUUUGUUUGUAGCAACAUAUUGUAGCAAUAAAAAAAAAGACUUGAGAGAUUUCCACUUCUAUUAAAGGAGAGUCAGAGAUCUCUUCAUGUCAUCAGUGAGGAACCACAUACACCCAACCCCGUGCUGUUUAUAAAGGGAUGUGCCUUGGAUGCAGAGUCUCUUUUAGAAAUAAUGAUGGAAGGGGAGGAGGAGGUCUGAGAAGUAGACGAUGUGAACACGUCUCUACACUUCAUCUUCAACACUGAAUAUGCUUCAUGAGAGACACCCUGACAUUCAUUGAAAACUGUUUAAUGUAUCAUAAUGCCAAAACCAAUAUGCCAGCCACA